UGCGCAGGCGGUCUGCUAAGUCGGAUGUGAAAGCCCCGGGCUUAACCUGGGAAUUGCAUUCGAUACUGGCAGACUAGAGUCUGGUAGAGGUAAGCGGAAUUCCGGGUGUAGCGGUGAAAUGCGUAGAUAUCCGGAGGAACAUCAGUGGCGAAGGCGGCUUACUGGACCAAGACUGACGCUCAGGCACGAAAGCGUGGGUAGCAAACA
rnacentral:rRNA from 1 species